rnacentral:rRNA from 1 species
CCUACGGGUGGCAGCAGUAGGGAAUUUUCGGCAAUGGGGGAAACCCUGACCGAGCAACGCCGCGUGAGUGAUGACGGCCUUCGGGUUGUAAAGCUCUGUUGUAAGGGAAGAACGGUAGAUAGAGAAUAUCUAAGUGACGGUACCUUACCAGAAAGCCACGGCUAACUACGUGCCAGCAGCCGCGGUAAUACGUAGGUGGCGAGCGUUAUCCGGAAUUAUUGGGCGUAAAGGGUGCGUAGGCGGCCUGUUAAGUAAGUGGUUAAAUUGUUGGGCUCAACCCAAUCCAGCCACUUAAACUGGCAGGCUAGAGUAUUGGAGAGGCAAGUGGAAUUCCAUGUGUAGCGGUAAAAUGCGUAGAUAUAUGGAGGAACACCAGUGGCGAAGGCGGCUUGCUAGCCAAAGACUGACGCUCAUGCACGAAAGCGUGGGGAGCAAAUAGGAUUAGAUACCCCAGUAGUC